GUUUUUUUAUUUUAUCAAACAAGCUCAAAAACUUAAGAGUCAUUCAAAUUAGGCACAGCUUAUUUGAAACAGGAUACAACCUCAACCAUUGGGUAAACAAGGGCAAUAAAAAUAAAGUGGGCCCAAAAGCAGCCAUCUUCCAAAAAGCGUCAAAGCUUAAUUACUUAGGCCCAUAAUUUCCAAAACACUCUACAACCCCUCACCAAUACUGAACUAUUUUAUAUCUAUAUAAAAAUAAUUAUGCUAGAACUAGUAACAAGAAGCUGCCCUUCUCCUUAAUGUAAAUAUACACCAAAACGGACACUCCAUUGGUAGUUAACGUAGAUGUAAAACCAUAACAACACAUAACCAGAAAACCUUAUGGCCACCCAACGUUACCCUUACACCAGAACAUUACAGGAAAGAUUAAAAGAAAGAGAAGGAACUCGGCAAAUUUUAACCCCGCCUGUUUACCAAAAACAUCGCCUCUUGAUUAAACAUAAGAGGUCCAGCCUGCCCAGUGAUAAUAUUAAACGGCCGCGGUAUACUAACCGUGCGAAGGUAGCAUAAUCACUUGUUCUUUAAAUGGGGACUUGUAUCAACGGCAUCACGAGGGUUAUACUGUCUCCUCUCUCCAAUCAGUGAAACUGAUCCCCCCGUGAAGAAGCGGGGAUUUUACUAUAAGACGAGAAGACCCCAUGGAGCUUUAAACUCGACAUACACUAAGGUAUUAAAACACCAAUUUAACCCAAAAACCUGUACGUCAGUUUUAGGCUGGGGGGGCCACGGAGUAAAACUAAACCUCCACAACAAAUGGGCUAACACCCUAAUCUAAGAUUUAUAAAUCUAAGAAUCACCAAAAUGAUGUUUAAUGACCCGAUAAUUCGAUCAAUGAACCAAGUUACCCUGGGGAUAACAGCGCAAUCUACUUCAAGAGCCCUUAUCGACAAGUGGGUUUACGACCUCGAUGUUGGAUCAGGGUAUCCUAGUGGUGCAACCGCUAC
rnacentral:rRNA from 1 species